rnacentral:rRNA from 16 species
GCGGCGGACGGGUGAGUAACACGUGGGUAACCUGCCUGUAAGACCGGGAUAACUCCGGGAAACCGGUGCUAAUACCGGAUAGAUUAUCUUUCCGCCUGGAGAGAUAAGGAAAGAUGGCUUUUGCCAUCACUUACAGAUGGGCCCGCGGCGCAUUAGCUAGUUGGUGAGGUAACGGCUCACCAAGGCGACGAUGCGUAGCCGACCUGAGAGGGUGAUCGGCCACACUGGGACUGAGACACGGCCCAGACUCCUACGGGAGGCAGCAGUAGGGAAUCUUCCGCAAUGGACGAAAGUCUGACGGAGCAACGCCGCGUGAGCGAAGAAGGUCUUCGGAUCGUAAAGCUCUGUUGUUAGGGAAGAACAAGUAUCGGAGGAAAUGCCGGUACCUUGACGGUACCUGACGAGAAAGCCACGGCUAACUACGUGCCAGCAGCCGCGGUAAUAC